UACGUAGGGGGCAAGCGUUGUCCGGAUUUAUUGGGCGUAAAGAGCGUGUAGGCGGCCUGGAAGGUCAGCUGUGAAAACUCGAGGCUCAACCUCGAGACGUCGGUUGAAACCACCUGGCUAGAGUCCGGAAGAGGAGAGUGGAAUUCCCGGUGUAGAGGUGAAAUUCGUAGAUAUCGGGAGGAACACCAGUGGCGAAGGCGGCGACCUGGGCCAAUAUUGACGCUGAGGUGCGAAAGCGUGGGGAGCAAACAGG
rnacentral:rRNA from 1 species